UACAGAGGUCUCAAGCGUUGUUCGGAUUCAUUGGGCGUAAAGGGUGCGUAGGUGGCGAGGUUAGUCAGGUGUGAAAUCUCGGGGCUCAACCCCGAAACUGCACUUGAUACUGCCUUGCUAGAGUACUGGAGAGGAGAUUGGAAUUUACGGUGUAGCAGUGAAAUGCGUAGAUAUCGUGAGGAAGACCAGUGGCGAAGGCGAAUCUCUGGACAGUUACUGACACUGAGGCACGAAGGCCAGGGGAGCAAACGGG
rnacentral:rRNA from 1 species